GACGAACGCUGGCGGCGUGCUUAACACAUGCAAGUCGAACGGAAAGGCCCUGCUUUUGUGGGGCGCUCGAGUGGCGAACGGGUGAGUAACACGUGAGUAACCUGCCCUUGACUUUGGGAUAACUUCAGGAAACUGGGGCUAAUACCGGAUAGGAGCUCCUGCUGCAUGGUGGGGGUUGGAAAGUUUCGGCGGUUGGGGAUGGACUCGCGGCUUAUCAGCUUGUUGGUGGGGUAGUGGCUUACCAAGGCUUUGACGGGUAGCCGGCCUGAGAGGGUGACCGGCCACAUUGGGACUGAGAUACGGCCCAGACUCCUACGGGAGGCAGCAGUGGGGAAUAUUGCACAAUGGGCGGAAGCCUGAUGCAGCAACGCCGCGUGCGGGAUGACGGCCUUCGGGUUGUAAACCGCUUUCGCCUGUGACGAAGCGUGAGUGACGGUGAUGGGUAAAGAAGCACCGGCUAACUACGUGCCAGCAGCCGCGGUGAUACGUAGGGUGCGAGCGUUGUCCGGAUUUAUUGGGCGUAAAGGGCUCGUAGGUGGUUGAUCGCGUCGGAAGUGUAAUCUUGGGGCUUAACCCUGAGCGUGCUUUCGAUACGGGUUGACUUGAGGAAGGUAGGGGAGAAUGGAAUUCCUGGUGGAGCGGUGGAAUGCGCAGAUAUCAGGAGGAACACCAGUGGCGAAGGCGGUUCUCUGGGCCUUUCCUGACGCUGAGGAGCGAAAGCGUGGGGAGCGAACAGGCUUAGAUACCCUGGUAGUCCACGCUGUAAACGGUGGGUACUAGGUGUGGGGUCCAUUCCACGGGUUCCGUGCCGUAGCUAACGCUUUAAGUACCCCGCCUGGGGAGUACGGCCGCAAGGCUAAAACUCAAAGGAAUUGACGGGGCCCCGCACAAGCGGCGGAGCAUGCGGAUUAAUUCGAUGCAACGCGUAGAACCUUACCUGGGUUUGACAUGGAUCGGGAGUGCUCAGAGAUGGGUGUGCCUCUUUUGGGGUCGGUUCACAGGUGGUGCAUGGCUGUCGUCAGCUCGUGUCGUGAGAUGUUGGGUUAAGUCCCGCAACGAGCGCAACCCUUGUUCACUGUUGCCAGCACGUUAUGGUGGGGACUCAGUGGAGACCGCCGGGGUCAACUCGGAGGAAGGUGGGGAUGACGUCAAGUCAUCAUGCCCCUUAUGUCCAGGGCUUCACGCAUGCUACAAUGGCUGGUACAGAGAGUGGCGAGCCUGUGAGGGUGAGCGAAUCUCGGAAAGCCGGUCUCAGUUCGGAUUGGGGUCUGCAACUCGACCUCAUGAAGUCGGAGUCGCUAGUAAUCGCAGAUCAGCAACGCUGCGGUGAAUACGUUCCCGGG
rnacentral:rRNA from 1 species